UACGGAGGGAGCUAGCGUUGUUCGGAAUUACUGGGCGUAAAGCGCACGUAGGCGGCUUUGUAAGUUAGAGGUGAAAGCCCGGGGCUCAACCCCGGAAUUGCCUUUAAGACUGCAUCGCUUGAAUCCAGGAGAGGUGAGUGGAAUUCCGAGUGUAGAGGUGAAAUUCGUAGAUAUUCGCAAGAACACCAAUAGCGAAGGCAGCUCGCUGGGACGUUACUGACACUGAGGCGCGAAAGCGUGGGGAGCGAACAGG
rnacentral:rRNA from 1 species